UCCCAAACCCCUGUGAACAUACCAAUUGUUGCCUCGGCGGAUCAGCCCGCUCCCGGUAAAACGGGACGGCCCGCCAGAGGACCCCUAAACUCUGUUUCUAUAUGUAACUUCUGAGUAAAACCAUAAAUAAAUCAAAACUUUCAACAACGGAUCUCUUGGUUCUGGCAUCGAUGAAGAACGCAGCAAAAUGCGAUAAGUAAUGUGAAUUGCAGAAUUCAGUGAAUCAUCGAAUCUUUGAACGCACAUUGCGCCCGCCAGUAUUCUGGCGGGCAUGCCUGUUCGAGCGUCAUUUCAACCCUCAAGCCCUCGGGUUUGGUGUUGGGGAUCGGCGAGCCCUUGCGGCAAGCCGGCCCCGAAAUCUAGUGGCGGUCUCGCUGCAGCUUCCAUUGCGUAGUAGUAAAACCCUCGCAACUGGUACGCGGCGCGGCCAAGCCGUUAAACCCCCAACUUCUGAAUGUUGACCUCGGAUCAGGUAGGAAUACCCGCUGAACUUAAGCAUAUCAAUA
rnacentral:rRNA from 1 species